rnacentral:misc_RNA from 1 species
GAUGAAGAACGCAGCGAAAUGCGAUAAGUAAUGUGAAUUGCAGAAUUCAGUGAAUCAUCGAAUCUUUGAACGCACAUUGCGCCCGCCAGUAUUCUGGCGGGCAUGCCUGUUCGAGCGUCAUUACAACCCUCAGGCCCCCGGGCCUGGCGUUGGGGAUCGGCGGAGCCCCCCGUGGGCACACGCCGUCCCCCAAAUGCAGUGGCGGUCCCGCCGCAGCUUCCAUCGCGUAGUAGCUAACACCUCGCGACUGGAGAGCGGCGCGGCCACGCCGUAAAACACCCAACUCUUCUGAAGUUGACCUCGAAUCAGGUAGGAAUACCCGCUGAACUUAAGCAUAUCAAUAAGCGGAUGA